GACGAACGCUGGCGGCGUGCUUAACACAUGCAAGUCGAACGGAAAGGCCCUGCUUUUGUGGGGUGCUUGAGUGGCGAACAGGUGAGUAAUACGUGAGCAACCUUCCCUUGACUUUGGGAUAACUUCAGGAAACUGGGGCUCAUACUGGAUAGGCUCUCCUCCUGCAUGGUGGUGGUUGGCAAGUUUCGGCGUUUGGGGAUGGACUGGGGGUUUAUAGGCUUGUUGGUGGGGUAGUUGCUUACCAGGUGUUUGACGGGUGGCCGGCCUGGGCGGGUGACCGGCCACAUUGGGACUGGGAUAGGGCCAGGCCUCCACCGGGGGGAAGAGGUGGGGAGUUUGGCCAAAGGGGCGGAAGCCGAUGGAGGAAAGCCGGGGUGGGGAAUGACGGCUUUCGGGUUGUAAACGGCUUUAGCAGGUGACGAAGCGGUGGUGACGGUACCGGGAGAAGAAGCACCGGCUAACUACGUG
rnacentral:rRNA from 1 species